GCUCCUUGGUGGGCCAGGCCUUUGAGGUUGCAGGCUUCCUGAGCUGAGCAAGUCAGCUUACUCAGAGGGGAUUGGGGUCUGGUGCCUGCUGCAGUUUCAGGGAUAAAGAGGCCAGCACUCCUGCCCUCCUGAGCCUCUCUCCCUUUGCUUCCCGUGGAUCUCUUGUUCUUCCAACAGCCAGCUGAGACAGGUCUGGUGGAUGGGCAAGAUGACACAAUGACAUAGCAUGUGUCACACUGCUUACCUAUAGAUGGUCACUGGAAGGAAGAUCAGAGGCCCACCCUGACCUAUUACUCUACUCUUCAGAUGUGGGGGGGGGGGGACGGAGGUGGGGGGAAUCCAGCAAGAAUUGAUGGCUUAAUUUCUGUAUUCAAGGUCCCAGUUGGUAUCUAAGAUCGCCAGGGAGUGACAGCCAUCCCCACCUGUGGCCCUUCUGUUUUAUGCAUUCUAGAAUGUUUAAACAGCUGAACAGAGAGGGCUGAUCAAGGCCAUGCUCGGCCCCUCCCACGUGUGUGUCUGUGCCCUUUGAAGGGGGACAGGAUAUGAAGGCCUCACCCUUUAAGGGUACCUAAGUUCUGUCAGCUCUGCCCUACAUUGCUCCCUAGUCCCAGGCCACCACUUCUCCUCUCUAGGACAUGAUGUUCUUAUCUACCCAACAACUGAUACAUGCUCUUGGGGCUGAGAAGAUGGCUUCUCAGAGAGCUUGCUGCUAUUGCAUGAGGACCUAGCUCAGAUCCCUAGAAGCCAUAUAAAAGCCAGCAUGUGUCUGUAUCUCCAAUCCCAAGAGGAGAGAUCAAGAGAGAUUUCUGGCCAGAGGAAGACACCGCUGGCAUCUAUAUGUGCACUCACAGGCAUGAAUGAGUCCAGUCUUUGAAGAACUGGGAAGAUGGCUUUAGGAUGUGUCCAUUAAGUAUCUGAAACACAGAAACACCCGAGAGCUGCCCCUUCCCUUCCCAGAGAUCCAUGAAGAGCUGAACCUAGAAUACUGAUGCCACUGUUUGUCCCCUAAGAUCGAUUAGCAUCUGGAUGGACAGGAACCAAGACAACCACCUUAGUUCAGGUUUCAGUUGCUGUAACAAAACAGCAGAGGCCAAGGACUUUACACACAAGGGUGACUAAAAGUCCAAGACUAAACAACCCCAUGUGUUUGGACUCUGGUAAGGAUCUCCCAUCUACUUCUCAACAUGGCGAAUGACAUCAUGAUGGAUGUGCAGAUGAGGAAAGAGAGGUCACAUGAUGAAACUGGAAACAAGAGAGUAUGUGGAAGGUCACAUCCAGUCUUUUACAGCAACCUCGUAUCUCAAAAGGCUACCCUGGAACUCAGAGAUCUGCUUGCCUGGGAUUAAACACAUGAACCACCCUGCCUGGGACGAAGCUUUGCAUGGCCACUAUUCCUCAAGAUCCUCAUCAAAAGCCUGUGUCUUCCAGCCUCGAGAUCUGGAUCCAUAGUUGUGCCCUCCAUUUCUGGAUUUUAGUUCAUUCCAGAUUAAAAGUCCAAAUGAAAACAAUAACCAGGUAAUAGUAACACCUAUGUAUAACCCUACCCAAGGACAUUUGACUGGGGUGGAGAUGAGAGCAGAGCGAGUGGGAUCUCUGUAAGAGAAACUGUGUCCCUGCAAUCCACACUAAAGUCAGAGCAGUGGAACUCAUGCUUCCCCAGCCCUCAUCCCACAACCAGUCCUGAUCCCAUCUGGCCACAGAACUCUUCAAAUGUCCCCAAGAAAGCCCAGAGAAGCCACAGUCUGAACUUUGUGUGUUCACUCUGCUAUCUUAUCUGUGUCACUUAGCACCUUCUAGAAAAUAAGGGUCUGUUGGGGCUUGGGGUUUGUGUACAACGAUGAGUUGUCAUGAAUGUUGUUUAUAGGAACAUGGGCAGCUUGCCAGUGAAGAAAACGUCCCUUCUUCUCACAACAACCAUUAACUUCUGAGAGAUCUUCAGGGAUGGGGGGCUUUGCGGGGUGGAAAGCUGAUGGACCCAGCCUUCUGCAGGUCUUCUGCAGAUAAUCAUAGAUGCUGGGGAUCCAAGAUUACGACAGUGAUAUCAUGUCCUGAUGUUGAACUCCAUGGCACUCUACCGCUCCCUUAGGCCCUUACAUUCCUCCCAUUUCUUCACUAGUAUACCCCGAGCCUGGAAGAGGUCACUAUAAAUGUCCCCUUUAGGGUUGAGCAUUCAUCAGUUAUAAGCCUGCAGCAACCACGGCCUGCUUUAUAAAGCAUCUUCUCAGACCAAGGGGACACUCCCACAGAAACGAUGGUUCCAGCCAGAGGUGCUGAGAACCCACCCGGAACCUGCUUCUCAACAGCCGGCUUCAACAUAAGCCACACUCCCCAUUAAGCCCUGCUUUGAGAGAGGAAGCAUCAUAACUGAACACAACUCACAUGGCCUGUCAUAGUAUGUCUGCCAUGGACCAUGACACGGAAUUCAACUAGUGUGGACACUGAGGGACUCCUUGAGGAAGCAUCAUCUCUACAGUGACCUAGAGGAUGAACAGGUGUGACAUAAAGUGACAUGAAUUAGAUCUAAAGCCAAAUGACACUGAUGUUUGUGUGUGAAAAUCCCAUAAUGAACCCCAUUACUAUGUAUGGUAGCCUUAAAAAAACAAAGCAAAAACAAUACAUUAAAGAGAAAGAGAUUGGGGG